CAGUAUAGCAGCCAGAGACCCUGCCUGAUAUGUCAUUCUUCACCUAGACCCAGACACAGCCUUCUGUGAAACUCCAUCCAUUUGGAAAAGCUCUAGGCCAGCCCCACAGCUCCAUCUGUCUUUGCCCUGGCACCCAAUUGUGGACAGGGAACCUCCUCCCAAGUAGCUAUGGCCUGCCUGGUGUCAAACUACUUCCCUGAGCCUGUGACAGUGACAUGGAAUUCCGGGGCCAUCUCCAGUGGAAUCCAGACCUAUCCUUCUAUCCUCCAGUCCUCAGGACUCUACACCUCAAGCAGUCAGUUGACAGUUCCUGCAGAUGAUUGGCUCACAAAGUCAUACAUCUGCAAUGUGGCCCACAAACCCACAUCCACCAAAACUGACAAGAAAAUUGAAAAGAUUUCCGAGUGUACAUGCUGCAAAUGCCAAGCAUGUGAUGUCGUUGGACCUUCUGUAUUCCUCUUCCCCCCAAAUCCUAAGGACACCCUCACACUCUCAAGAGUCCCUAAAGUCACCUGUGUGGUGGUUGAUGUGAGUGAUGCAUCAGAGGUUCAAAUUUCCUGGUACAAAGGCCAAAACGCAAUCGACAGUCCUAAACCGACAGAGAGGAAACUAAACAACGGCACCUUUCAGGUGGUCAGCACUCUCUCUGUAGCCCACCAAGAAUGGCUGAAUGGCGUGGCAUACACCUGUAAAGUUGAUAACAAAGAAUUACCAUAUCCUGAGAGAAAGACCAUCUCUCAUACUAAGGGUAACAGAAAGAAGCCUGAUGUGUAUGUCUUUGCCCCACAUUCUGAAGAGUUGAAGCAAAAAGAUACUGUUAGUAUUACCUGCCUAGUAAAAAGUUUCUUCCCUAAAGAAGUCGUUGUUGAAUGGCAAUGCAACAACAAUCCAGAGUCUGAAGAUAACUAUUCCACCACUGAAGCAAUGAGGGAAAACGACACCUUCUUUGUCUAUAGCAAGCUCAAUGUGAAGAAAACAAAAUGGCAAGAGAAUAACCACUACACCUGCACGGUGCUGCAUGAGGCCCUUCCGAACCAAACUUCCCAGAGGACAAUCUCUGCAUCAUCCCCGGAGUUGAUACCAGAUGAGAACUGUGCUGAGACCAGGGAUGGAGAGCUGGAUGGGCUGUGGACCACAAUAUCUAUCUUCAUCACUCUCUUCCUCCUCAGUGUGUGCUACAGUGCCACUGUCACCCUGUUCAAGGUGAAGUGGAUCUUCUCCUCUGUGAUGGAGUUAAAGCAGCCAAUGAUUCCUGAUUAUAGGAACAUGAUGGGGCAAGGGGCCUAAGAGAGGGUCCACUACCCCUCCUUGAAGCUUAGUCCCAGAGAUAGACCUAAAUGGAGUGAGAUCCCUCACCAUGAUUUCCUCAAAACAGCAGAAAUAUCUCCACAUCACAGUCAAAUCCAGCUUCUCCCUGAACCUGUGUUCACCAGUGGUUUCCUUUAGUAUGAGACAAAGACUCUCCGCCUCUUCUAUUCCCCAAGUCCAGAUUAGGAAAAUGGAACCUCCAUCUAACAAAGGUCUCAUUCUCCACCUAUUGCCUUUCUCACAUGGGGCCAUCAGAAAGAAUAUGUUCUUUAGAAUAGGUAUGCAAAGGAAAAGAGAAUAGAAGCUACAUGGUCUACAGUGAGGGCUGAGGAAGGAUCAGCAUCGUUGCUGUUCAAGACAUAAUUGAUAGAUGUACUCAUACUCAUUCCAAUCAAAUGGUUUCACUUUUGGUACUCCUUUUAUGCAAUAUCUGUGGUUCACAUUUGUCCAGGCCUGUGUCCACACCCUUCCACUGCUCUGGCUCAGUAAGAGCUAGGUUGUAAUGCCAUCCUCUCUUCUUUAGUGUUACUGGAAGUGACAUCUGUGCUUUUAUUGCUCCAUAAGUAGUUGUAAGAUUGUAACAUUGUAAAAAUUAUCCUCAUAGCUAAUGUGUAAAUUCUGUCUGCAUGAGAUGGGAGUUGGGGGAGUAUUAAGAGGUUGAAGCUAGGCCAGGAUAUGCAUGAGAUAUAUUCCCAGUAUUGAAAUAAGCCCCAAACUAUCACUCCCCAGAAUCUGGUAGGAGACGGACAAGUGGAUACCAGAAAGAAAAAGAAAUCAGACUAACUGAUGGCAUGGAUUGGUCAUAAAUUAGGCCCUCGCCAGAGAUACUUUGGUUGACUGAUCAUGAGUCAAAGCCAAAGUUGGCUCAAAGGGAAGGGACCCCUUAAUGGAUUAGCAAAAUCUCAGGAUAAAAAUUCUAUUGUCUUAUUUCUCAAUUCUACUCUCUUUAAGUUGUAUCCCUUAGUUAAUUAUAAAAUAUUUUUUUAAAAAUUUGAUCUUGAUUUUAGACUAAUUAAAGAAGUAUUUUUCUGUAACUAAAACAGGAAAUUUGUAUGUAGUUGAUGCUUAAUAAAUGUUGAAUGGAUGAAUGAAUCUGAGUAUACUAGGAUACAAGAAAAGUCUGGUGGCAGCAAGAAGUAAUUAUUAGAAAUACUACCUAUCACCCCAGAAAGUCUGUAGAGUUUGUCAGGAAAGAGAUUUGGUAAGGGUAAGGCCAGAGUAGGGUAGAAAAUUUCUUUAUAAUUUCUUUAUUUAACCCUUGGCAAUGAAAGUUAUAUAGUCAGAAAUUAAGUAAAAUUGUGGUUAAGACAACCCAAAAUCUUCUACAGAAUCAGGUUUCUUGAUUAGAUGAGCAUGAAUUUGGAUUUGUAGAAUGGACCAACGAGUUCAAUCUAAAGCAACAAGCUUAUAAUCAGUUCACCUUUGGUAUUUUUAUAAUACUUUUGAAUUUCCCACAUUUAGGUCUGAGGUGCAGACUGAGGACACCUGAGAACAGGUGGAAGAGAAAACAUCAGUCUAGAUACCUCUCUGGUCCUCAUCAACCCCAAGCCAUGUCACUGCAAGCAUGAAAGUGUUAGAAAGGAUAAUUCAGCAAUGGAUUGAUGUAACUUGAGAUUAGAUCCUUGCACUCCACCUAGGGUUGCAAUUAUUCCAGGGUUCUUUAUCAGCCUGAAAACACCAAUCCUUCACUGACAGUCAAAGAGAACAUAUAACCUUGCUAUUGUUCAGUCAUUUCAGUCGUGUCCAACUCUUCAUGACCCUAUUUGGGGUUUU